GGGUUGUGAGGUUAAGCGACUAAGCGUACACGGUGGAUGCCCUGGCAGUCAGAGGCGAUGAAGGACGUGCUAAUCUGCGAUAAGCGUCGGUAAGGUGAUAUGAACCGUUAUAACCGGCGAUUUCCGAAUGGGGAAACCCAGUGUGAUUCGUCACACUAUCAUUACGUGAAUACAUAGCGUAAUGAAGCGAACCGGGGGAACUGAAACAUCUAAGUACCCCGAGGAAAAGAAAUCAACCGAGAUUCCCCCAGUAGCGGCGAGCGAACGGGGAGCAGCCCAGAGUCUGAAUCAGCUUGUGUGUUAGUGGAACGGUCUGGAAAGUCCGACGGUACAGGGUGAUAGUCCCGUACACCAAAAUGCACAGGUUGUGAACUCGAAGAGUAGGGCGGGACACGUGGUAUCCUGUCUGAAUAUGGGGGGACCAUCCUCCAAGGCUAAAUACUCCUGACUGACCGAUAGUGAACCAGUACCGUGAGGGAAAGGCGAAAAGAACCCCGGCGAGGGGAGUGAAAAAGAACCUGAAACCGUGUACGUACAAGCAGUGGGAGCCUCUUUAUGGGGUGACUGCGUACCUUUUGUAUAAUGGGUCAGCGACUUAUAUUCUGUAGCAAGGUUAACCGUAUAGGGGAGCCGAAGGGAAACCGAGUCUUAACUGGGCGUUAAGUUGCAGGGUAUAGACCCGAAACCCGGUGAUCUAGCCAUGGGCAGGUUGAAGGUUGGGUAACACUAACUGGAGGACCGAACCGACUAAUGUUGAAAAAUUAGCGGAUGACUUGUGGCUGGGGGUGAAAGGCCAAUCAAACCGGGAGAUAGCUGGUUCUCCCCGAAAGCUAUUUAGGUAGCGCCUCGUGAAUUCAUCUUCGGGGGUAGAGCACUGUUUCGGCUAGGGGGUCAUCCCGACUUACCAACCCGAUGCAAACUGCGAAUACCGAAGAAUGUUAUCACGGGAGACACACGGCGGGUGCUAACGUCCGUCGUGAAGAGGGAAACAACCCAGACCGCCAGCUAAGGUCCCAAAGUCAUGGUUAAGUGGGAAACGAUGUGGGAAGGCACAGACAGCCAGGAUGUUGGCUUAGAAGCAGCCAUCAUUUAAAGAAAGCGUAAUAGCUCACUGGUCGAGUCGGCCUGCGCGGAAGAUGUAACGGGGCUAAACCAUGCACCGAAGCUGCGGCAGCGACACUAUGUGUUGUUGGGUAGGGGAGCGUUCUGUAAGCCGUUGAAGGUGUAUCGUGAGGUAUGCUGGAGGUAUCAGAAGUGCGAAUGCUGACAUAAGUAACGAUAAUGCGGGUGAAAAACCCGCACGCCGGAAGACCAAGGGUUCCUGUCCAACGUUAAUCGGGGCAGGGUGAGUCGACCCCUAAGGCGAGGCCGAAAGGCGUAGUCGAUGGGAAACAGGUUAAUAUUCCUGUACUUGGUGUUACUGCGAAGGGGGGACGGAGAAGGCUAUGUUAGCCGGGCGACGGUUGUCCCGGUUUAAGCAUGUAGGCGGAGGUUCCAGGUAAAUCCGGUACCUUUUGAAAUCGUACCCCAAACCGACACAGGUGGUCAGGUAGAGAAUACCAAGGCGCUUGAGAGAACUCGGGUGAAGGAACUAGGCAAAAUGGUGCCGUAACUUCGGGAGAAGGCACGCUGAUAUGUAGGUGAAGUGAUUUACUCAUGGAGCUGAAAUCAGUCGAAGAUACCAGCUGGCUGCAACUGUUUAUUAAAAACACAGCACUGUGCAAACACGAAAGUGGACGUAUACGGUGUGACGCCUGCCCGGUGCCGGAAGGUUAAUUGAUGGGGUUAUCCGUAAGGAGAAGCUCUUGAUCGAAGCCCCGGUAAACGGCGGCCGUAACUAUAACGGUCCUAAGGUAGCGAAAUUCCUUGUCGGGUAAGUUCCGACCUGCACGAAUGGCGUAAUGAUGGCCAGGCUGUCUCCACCCGAGACUCAGUGAAAUUGAACUCGCUGUGAAGAUGCAGUGUACCCGCGGCAAGACGGAAAGACCCCGUGAACCUUUACUAUAGCUUGACACUGAACACUGGUCCUUGAUGUGUAGGAUAGGUGGGAGGCUUUGAAGUGUGGACGCCAGUCUGCAUGGAGCCAUCCUUGAAAUACCACCCUUUAAUGGCUGGUGUUCUAACGUGGACCCGUUACCCGGGUUGCGGACAGUGUCUGGUGGGUAGUUUGACUGGGGCGGUCUCCUCCUAAAGAGUAACGGAGGAGCACGAAGGUUAGCUAAUCCUGGUCGGACAUCAGGAGGUUAGUGCAAAGGCAUAAGCUAGCUUGACUGCGAGAGUGACGGCUCGAGCAGGUGCGAAAGCAGGUCUUAGUGAUCCGGUGGUUCUGAAUGGAAGGGCCAUCGCUCAACGGAUAAAAGGUACUCCGGGGAUAACAGGCUGAUACCGCCCAAGAGUUCAUAUCGACGGCGGUGUUUGGCACCUCGAUGUCGGCUCAUCACAUCCUGGGGCUGAAGUAGGUCCCAAGGGUAUGGCUGUUCGCCAUUUAAAGUGGUACGCGAGCUGGGUUUAGAACGUCGUGAGACAGUUCGGUCCCUAUCUGCCGUGGGCGCUGGAGAAUUGAGGGGGGCUGCUCCUAGUACGAGAGGACCGGAGUGGACGCAUCACUGGUGUUCGGGUUGUCAUGCCAAUGGCAUUGCCCGGUAGCUAAAUGCGGAAGAGAUAAGUGCUGAAAGCAUCUAAGCACGAAACUUGCCCCGAGAUGAGUUCUCCCUGAGACUUUAAGUCUCCUGAAGGAACGUUGAAGACGACGACGUUGAUAGGUCGGGUGUGUAAGUGUAGCGAUACAUUGAGCUAACCGAUACUAAUGAACCGUGAGGCUUAACCUUACAACGCCGAAG
rnacentral:rRNA from 1 species